rnacentral:rRNA from 1 species
CGCCCGCCGCGCGCGGCGGGCGGGGCGGGGGCACGGGGGGCCUACGGGAGGCAGCAGUGGGGAAUAUUGCACAAUGGGCGAAAGCCUGAUGCAGCAACGCCGGAAAGUUGGGGGUGAAAUCCCGGGGCUCAACCCCGGAACCGCCUCCAAAACUAUCGGUCUAGAGUUCGAGAGAGGUGAGUGGAAUUCCGAGUGUAGAGGUGAAAUUCGUAGAUAUUCGGAGGAACACCAGUGGCGAAGGCGGCUCACUGGCUCGAUACUGACGCUGAGGUGCGAAGGCGUGGGGAGCAAACAGGAUUAGAUACCCUGGUAGUCCACACCGUAAACGAUGAAUGCCAGUCGUCGGGUAGCAUGCUAUUCGGUGACACACCUAACGGAUUAAGCAUUCCGCCUGG